AGCUUUUCAGUAGUUUACUACAGAAAAUGACUGAGCGGCGAACGGGUGAGUAACGCGUGAGCAAUCUACCUUAGUUACUGGGAUAGCCCGAGGAAACUCGGAUUAAUACCGGAUAAUCUUAUUACAUCACAUGAUAUUUUAAGUAAAGGUCAGCCGAACUAAGAUGAGCUCGCGUUCUAUCAGCUUGUUGGUGGGGUAAAAGCCUACCAAGGCUACGACGGAUAGCUGGUCUGAGAGGACGAUCAGCCACACUGGGACUGAGACACGGCCCAGACUCCUACGGGAGGCUGCAGCAGGGAAUAUUGCGCAAUGAGCGAAAGCUUGACGCAGCGACACCGCGUGUGGGAUGACGGUUCUAGGAUUGUAAACCACUUUCAGGAGGGAAGAAAAUGACGGUACCUCCACAAGAAGCCCCGGCCAACUACGUGCCAGCAGCCGCGGUAAUACGUAGGGGGCGAGCGUUGUCCGGAUUUAUUGGGCGUAAAGAGCUCGUAGGCGGUUCAACAAGUCGGUCGUGAAAGUUCAGGGCUUAACCCUGAAAUGUCGAUCGAUACUGUUGUGACUAGGAUAUGGUAGAGGUGAGUGGAAUUCCGAGUGUAGCGGUGAAAUGCGUAGAUAUUCGGAGGAACACCAAUAGCGAAGGCAGCUCACUGGACCACUAUCGACGCUGAGGAGCGAAAGCUAGGGGAGCAAACAGGAUUAGAUACCCUGGUAGUCCUAGCUGUAAACGAUGGAUACUAGAUGUAGGAAUUGGAUUGACGAUUUCUGUAUCGUAGCUAACGCGUUAAGUAUCCCGCCUGGGGAGUACGGUCGCAAGACUAAAACUCAAAGGAAUUGACGGGACCCCGCACAA
rnacentral:rRNA from 1 species